ensembl:lncRNA
AAGAACUGACUCAUUGGAAAAGACCCUGAUGCUGGGAAAGAUUGAAGGCAGGAGGGGAAGGGGACGACAGAGGAUGAGAUGGUUGGAUGGCAUCACCAACGCGACGGACAUUAAGCCACCUACACGGUACCUCCCCUGCAUGUACAAUCGCCCGGCGCAUCGGAGCGGCACUCUGCACAUAUUGAAACCCGGCCGGAGAAGCCCUCAUUAUCUGUAGCGGCAUCGCUAACCGAGCGCAGCAUAAUCAAAGCCUCGGGGUUUCUCAGGAAGCAACUCUGGAAGCCCGGGAAAAGAACAGUCCCUGCUGUGAGAUGGUUAGCAUGAUGAGAGCGGGGGUCUUUGGAAGUUGCAGGGGAUAUUUCGAUGGACUUUUCUGCGCUGGAGUGAAGGUUGGCAGACAUGCCCCACAGCCUCUCUGCAGACUGAAGUUGUCAGCAUGGGAUUGAAACGUAGGGUCUCUCAUUAAACCCAUGCUGAUUUGG